rnacentral:piRNA from 1 species
UGAGUCGUGUACAAGAUUUAU